GAUGAACGCUGGCGGCGUGCCUAAUACAUGCAAGUCGAGCGAACGGACGAGAAGCUUGCUUCUCUGAUGUUAGCGGCGGACGGGUGAGUAACACGUGGAUAACCUACCUAUAAGACUGGGAUAACUUCGGGAAACCGGAGCUAAUACCGGAUGAUAUUUUGAACCGCAUGGUUCAAAAGUGAAAGACGGUCUUGCUGUCACUUAUAGAUGGAUCCGCGCUGCAUUAGCUAGUUGGUAAGGUAACGGCUUACCAAGGCAACGAUGCAUAGCCGACCUGAGAGGGUGAUCGGCCACACUGGAACUGAGACACGGUCCAGACUCCUAGGGGAGGCAGCAGUAGGGAAUCUUCCGCAAUGGGCGAAAGCCUGACGGAGCAACGCCGCGUGAGUGAUGAAGGUCUUCGGAUCGUAAAACUCUGUUAUUAGGGAAGAACAUAUGUGUAAGUAACUGUGCACAUCUUGACGGUACCUAAUCAGAAAGCCACGGCUAACUACGUG
rnacentral:rRNA from 1 species